rnacentral:rRNA from 1 species
AAGCCGAUGAAGGACGUUACUAACGACGAUAUGCUUUGGGAAGCUGUAAGUAAGCUUUGAUCCAGAGAUUUCCGAAUGGGGAAACCCAGCAUGAGUUAUGUCAUGUUAUCGAUAUGUGAAUACAUAGCAUAUCAGAAGGCACACCCGGAGAACUGAAACAUCUUAGUACCCGGAGGAAGAGAAAGAAAAUUCGAUUCCCUUAGUAGCGGCGAGCGAAACGGGAAGAGCCCAAACCAACAAGCUUGCUUGUUGGGGUUGUAGGACACUCUAUACGGAGUUACAAAGGACGACAUUAGACGAAUCAUCUGGAAAGAUGAAUCAAAGAAGGUAAUAAUCCUGUAGUCGAAAAUGUUGUCUCUCUUGAGUGGAUCCUGAGUACGACGGAGCACGUGAAAUUCCGUCGGAAUCUGGGAGGACCAUCUCCUAAGGCUAAAUACUCUCUAGUGACCGAUAGUGAACCAGUACCGUGAGGGAAAGGUGAAAAGCACCCCGGAAGGGGAGUGAAAUAGAACCUGAAACCGUGUGCUUACAAGUAGUCAGAGCCCGUUAAUGGGUGAUGGCGUGCCUUUUG